AGCUAGCCCUGAUGGAAGUGGAAAUCCUUUAUACACUAAACAGGUUUUUAAAAACCUGUUUAGUGUAUAAAGAUUGUAACGACAGCAGGAAUAUGG
rnacentral:sRNA from 26 species